GAUGAAGAACGUAGCGAAAUGCGAUAAGUAAUGUGAAUUGCAGAAUUCAGUGAAUUAUCGAAUCUUUGAACGCAUCUUGCGCUCCUUGGUAUUCUGAGGAGCAUGCCUGUUUGAGUGUCAUUAAAUUCUCAACUACACUGACUUUGAAUUGGUGUGGCUUGGAUUUGGGGGGAAAAUUGUUGUGGGCUUUUUGUAUAGUCUGCUCCCCUGAAAUUGAUUAGCGGUACCUUUGUGGAACUGUCUACAGGUGUGAUAAUUAUCUACAUCUUAGACAUCUGCUGGAAUGCUGCUUUCUAAACCUUACUUGUAUUGACAAUCUUGACCUCAAAUCAGGUAGGACUACCCGCUGAACUUAAGCAUAUCAAUAAGCGGAGGA
rnacentral:misc_RNA from 1 species